rnacentral:rRNA from 2 species
GAAGGCGCUGCGCUAACCGCAAGGAGGCAGGCGACCACGGUAGGGUCAGCGACUGGGGUGAAGUCGUAACAAGGUAGCCGUAGGGGAACCUGCGGCUGGAUCACCUCCUUUCUAAGG